AUCCAGCUGACGAGUUCUAAAUAGGACGAAGUGUCGCGCAUCGAACUGGAU
rfam:Schistosoma rodhaini strain Burundi genome assembly, scaffold: SROB_scaffold0000215